rnacentral:rRNA from 1 species
UCCACGCCGUAAACGAUGGAUACUAGCUGUUGGGAGCAAUCUCAGUGGCUAAGCGAAAGUGAUAAGUAUCCCACCUGGGGAGUACGUUCGCAAGAAUGAAACUCAAAGGAAUUGACGGGGGCCCGCACAAGCGGUGGAGCAUGUGGUUUAAUUCGAUGAUACGCGAGGAACCUUACCAAGGCUUAAAUGUAGAUUGACCGGUUUGGAAACAGACUUUUCGCAAGACAAUUUACAAGGUGCUGCAUGGUUGUCGUCAGCUCGUGCCGUGAGGUGUCAGGUUAAGUCCUAUAACGAGCGCAA